rnacentral:rRNA from 1 species
AUUGAACGCUGGCGGCAGGCCUAACACAUGCAAGUCGAACGAGUGGCGGACGGGUGAGUAAUGUCUGGGAAUCUGGCUGAUGGAGGGGGAUAACUACGGGAAACGGUAGCUAAUACCGCAUACCAUCGGAUGUGCCCAAGUGGGAUUAGGUAGUUGGUGAGGUAAAGGCUCACCAAGCCGACGAUCCCUAGCUGGUCUGAGAGGAUGACCAGCAACACUGGAACUGAGACACGGCCCAGACGCCUACGGGAGGCAGCAGUGGGGAAUAUUGCGCAAUGGGCGCAACCCUGAUGCAGCCAUGCCGCGUGAAUGAAGAAGGCCUUCGGGUUGUAAAGUUCGUUCGGUAGCGAGGCGUUACCUACAGAAGAAGCACCGGCUAACUCCGUGCCAGCAGCCGCGGUAAUUC